AAACCGCGAACGGCUCAUUACAACAACUACGAUCUACUUGAUCUUGACGCUCCCUAGUUGGAUAACUGAGGUAAUUCUUGAGCUAAUACAUGAACCACGCCACCGGGCGGCAACGCCAGGUGGGCAUUUAUUUGAACAAAGCCAUUGUCGCUUCGGCGGCAUGCAGUUGACUCAGAAUAACUCGGCUGAUCGCAUGGCUCCUGGCCGGCGACGUGUCUUUCGAGCAUUUGCCUUAUCAACUUGUCGGUAGCGUAACUGGCUACCGUGGUGCUAACGGGUAACGGAGGAUCAGGGUUCGACUCCGGAGAAGGGGCCUGAGAAAUGGCCACUACGUCUAAGGAUGGCAGCAGGCGCGCAAAUUAUCCACUCUCGGCACGAGGAGAUAGUGACGGGAAAUAUCGAGACCUGCCCCUUUGGGGCUGGCCAUCGGAAUGGGUACAACCUAAACCCUUUAACGAGUAUCUAUGAGAGGGCAAGUCUGGUGCCAGCAGCCGCGGUAAUUCCAGCUCUCAAACUGAAUAGGACCAUUGCUGCGGUUAAAAAGCUCGUAGUUGGAUCUGUGCGCGGGACCCGGUUCGCACCCUGUGCGCAACUGGGCGCCCCGUGCUUAUGGUCGGUUCCCCCUGUUUCGGCUUGAGUGCUGGGACUCGGGCGGCUGACGCGUUUACUUUGAACAAAUCAGAGUGCUCAAGACAGGCGCAUGCCUGAAUGCUGGCGCAUGGAAUAAUGGAAGAGGAUCUCGGUCCGCUUUCGUUGGUUUUACGGCCGAGAUAAUGGUUAAUAGAGACAGACGGGGGCAUCUGUAUUUCUGCGUGAGAGGUGAAAUUUUUGGACCGCAGAAGGACACACGACAGCGAAAGCAUUUGCCAAGCAUGUCUUCAUUAAUCAAGAACGAAAGUCAGAGGAUCGAAGGCGAUUAGAUACCGCCCUAGUUCUGACCGUAAACGAUGCCAACUAGCGAUCCGUCGUGGGAUGUUCCGUCCCCGAUGGGGAGCUUCCCGGAAACGAAAGUCUUCCGGUUCCGGGGGAAGUAUGGUUGCAAAGCUGAAACUUAAAGGAAUUGACGGAAGGGCACCACCAGGAGUGGAGCCUGCGGCUUAAUUUGACUCAACACGGG
rnacentral:rRNA from 1 species